rnacentral:rRNA from 1 species
AUGGUUGAAACUGAGAAACAUUUGGUAUUUUCACUGGUAUACAAACUUAUUGAGUUGGCCUUGAUAUUGCCGGCGUCAACGGUAUUUGUUGAGAGAGAUUUUUCAGGAAUGAAGAUUAUCAAGACUAAACUGCGUAGCAAGAUCAAUAAUGAAUGGUUUAAUGACUUGUUGAGAUGUUACACCGAGCGGGAGUUAUUCAAGUCAGUUGAUGAUAAGGAUAUUGUUCAAACAUUUACUGCAACGAGCUCUCGGAAGGGGUAUUUGCCUCAUGAUUUUGUUUAG